GAUAUGUCGUAGGUUAAGAAGGAAGUGAGUUUUUUGGGAGGUUGUGGUCAAACCAAUCAGUGCUUGGAUUUGAAUAUUGGCACCUGGUUUGGCCACUGAAGGUACGGACCGCCUCUGAGAACACAAGAACUCCUAGGAGAACUCUCUCUUGGCUCUGGUCAGUGAAGGAGGGAUUGCUGUGCAAAAGACAACACAGAAGAGGAAGGAAGGAACGAAGGAAGAGGUGGAAGGAACACUUUUAGAUUAUCUCUUCAUUAUCUUUAACAGACACUUCUGAAUGGAAAAGCAGGAGAGGAAAAAAAUUGCCAUGUCGAAGUACUGUGAGAAGAAUUGUCAACUUAAAUGGGUAACACUGAUGGAGAAUAAUUGAACAGUCCUGGAGAGUAGCUUGCAGAGGAGCCACCAGAUACCACAGUUUUUGUGCAACAGGCUUUGGGUUCUUCUCUGGAAGUUUCUGGAAACUCUGGGUGCAAGGUCCAGGAUCAUUGGAGUAUACCUGGAAAACUGAGAAACCUCAGGGUGCCUCUUGCUGAUAAGUGAUGAUGUGGCAGCUCACACACAACUGUGAGCCAGAGGGAGCUCCAGCACCACCUAACAAAUUCAAUCUGACCUCAUUCCAGGGCGACUGGAGCCUUCCUGCACCUGAAUGCUUUAACAGGGAGGGUCAAGUACUCUUUAAGCCGGUGCUCAGAUGAUACCUAUAUAAAAGUCAGAUCCAGAGCAUAGCCAGUAACCCAGGCAUUUGAUUUUACUAGAAUAUUGCAAAGGGUUCUGUUUAUCUCUACACAUGAAUUCCAGGUUGGCAGAUGCAUGUAAAUUCUCAUUAAAAAAAAGUUAUGCUAGAAUGCUCACUGUGCUUAUUAGCCCAUAGUAAAUAAUCCUGUUUCUUCUCUAAUAUAUCCAGUGUUAGGAGUGUAUGUUGAUUUUGUAUGGUUCACAGUGUGCUCUGUCAGCAAAUAUGCAAGAAGUGUUUAAGAGUUAUGAUUGGUUUCAAAAACUCCUGUUUGAAGAAGUUUAUUUUUAAGUAAAUCUUACAGCUGAAUGCUAUUUUAUAUACAGAGUAGUUAAGUUUUUGGUACUUUUUUUCCAUUACAGGAGUGACACUACAUCAGCUAUUCAAAAGCAUUUAUUUUCUGUAUCAUACAAUCUUUU